AACGAACGCUGGCGGCAGGCUUAACACAUGCAAGUCGAGCGCCCCGCAAGGGGAGCGGCAGACGGGUGAGUAACGCGUGGGAACGUACCCUUUGCUACGGAAUAGCUCCGGGAAACUGGAAUUAAUACCGUAUGUGCCCUACGGGGGAAAGAUUUAUCGGCAAAGGAUCGGCCCGCGUUGGAUUAGCUAGUUGGUGGGGUAAUGGCCUACCAAGGCGACGAUCCAUAGCUGGUCUGAGAGGAUGAUCAGCCACAUUGGGACUGAGACACGGCCCAAACUCCUACGGGAGGCAGCAGUGGGGGAUAUUGGACAAUGGGCGCAAGCCUGAUCCAGCCAUGCCGCGUGAGUGAUGAAGGCCUUAGGGUUGUAAAGCUCUUUCACCGGAGAAGAUAAUGACGGUAUCCGGAGAAAAAGCCCCGGCUAACUUCGUGCCAGCCGCCGCGGUAAUAC
rnacentral:rRNA from 1 species